AGCCAAAGAAGAGAAGAGGAGUGAUCAAUAAGAUAGGAGAAGAGCCAGGGUAGAGUAGUGAGACAGAAACCCACAGAAGAGCAAGAAUUAAGGAGGAAAGGGUGAUCAACAGACUCAAAGGCCACAAAAAGAUCAAGGUGUUUAAUUUCCCUAUACUAUCCACCUGAUGUCUACCUAACUUUAAGGAUGGAUAUGGAUGGUUCAGAGACAUUCUGACUAACGCAGCUGACAAAAACAUGCCACAGGCUAGACCCAACAGACUUGGCCUUUGGGGAGGAUUUUCACAGAAGAAGCUACAAAUUCAGGAGCUAAAAAUGAGGAAACUUUUUCCAGUCUCCCUUAAUGCCAGAAAGGGAAAAUUUAUAGCUUUCUAGAAUGGAUCUUUGAGCAAGUCACCUGUCCUCCCUAAGUAUUCUAAAAGUAUGUGAAUGAAACAAGGAAGAUGAUGUCUGACAAGGAUGAGUUACAUUGUUAAUUAAAUUGGCACUGGAGAAUUUACUAGCUUUAAUUAGUGUAAAAUAAGUCCCAGACAGAAAGCUAAUUAUUAAAGCGUGCUAAUCAGAUUAAAGAUGAAGUAUGGAUUUUAUGGGCCGCUUGGAACAAGAACAUUGCCAGCUUGAAGCUUGAAACGUCUCAAACUUGAUUUAUUUUUUUUAAAGUGUCAUUGAAAUCACU
rnacentral:lncRNA from 1 species